rnacentral:lncRNA from 1 species
UGCAUUAUGAAGACAAUUAAAAUAUCAAUCAGUUACAAAUGAAGUCUUUCUGCAAUUAAAUUGGUUUGACAUUCUUUCACAAAAAAGGUGUCUUAUCUUACUCCACCACAAUAUUUCCCUGCAAUUAAAUUUGUUUGCUUUCUGAAGAUAGAAAAAAAUUCUCUUCUAUAUAUACGAAUGUAGUAUCUAUGAGAUACAAGAUUUUGCUUUCAUGGCAUUAAUUCAUGCACUAUAUAUGUGCAAUUGUGCAUGUAUGAUAUAUAGUCAGUAUUCAGAACGUGUUUGUCCUUGUAAGUUCACAGAUGACGCUGAGAACAGGAUUAAUUGAGGAAAUGUUUGUAAUAUUUUCCACAUUUAAUGAGUAUAUUGAGAUAAAUUGAAUAUACAUCUUGUAAAAACUUUAUACGAGUAUAUUAAUUUGUGAAUAUUGAAGUAAAACCUCAAUAUUUAAUCAAUUAAUGAUGAUUUUAUACAUCGUCGACAAACUUAAAAGGACAAAUACAUUUUAGUUUUGCCAUAUAGAGUGGAUGAAUUAAUGGCAUAAUCAAUCAAAUCUUAUCUUCGAGAAAUAGUGCAUUUGUAUACAAGUUACGCCACACUUGAUGAUCGAGAAAUUGAUGCCCCCCUCUGAUUAGAUCCAACUAGUCGCCCGCCGUGCACCUGCACGGCCUAGCCUCUAUAGUUAUACGUAUUUGCUAAUAAAUUUAUAUUAUUAUCUAUAUUGCAAGUGUUUAAAUUUCAAAUAUGCUACAUUUGGAUAGACACUAAGUUAUUCUAACAAUGAUAUAUCAGAAAAUAAAAACACGUAUUGUAAACUUCAUUAUAGGGAAGAGUGUGCAUCUGAUUUCUCAUGUAUGUUGCGCAAACUGUCAUCACUGGUCUAAAUGAAGCCUUCACGUAAUAGUAGCAACAUGCACCUCUUUGUUGCUUUGACAACACCUACUAAGGGAUGAAGAGAGUAUGAAUUAAACUGGACUAUAUGGCAAGAUAUACAUCUUCGUGAUUUAUUUAAUCCACAUUGUAGCACAUAUAACACAACUCAACAAAAGUUAGGAUAAAUAUAUAGUAAACACAUACCGCUCAACAAAUUCGACGUAUGAGAGGCAUGUGCUGCAUGGGAAGUUUAAUUUUUCCAAGGAUGAUGUAUAUAUCAAUUAUUUACAUAUAUAAAAUUAUUAGAAUAUGUACGUGGUAUUUUUAAAGAUAAUUCUAGUGCCUAAUAUUUAAGUCGAUAUGUGUUCCAUUUGCUAACCAACCCGAGGCUAGAUGAUUAGGUGCACAAUGGUAUCCCAAGCCCACCAGAGUUCAAUUGCUAGGCCUGACACCAGUGCUCACAUUUUUCUUGGAUUUAUUUCAGGACUUCUCGCAAUAUGCGUUUGUUGGAAGGAGAUGUUCUCAUCGACUACGAAGGCAUCUAUGGCAACUUUGUUAAUCUCAAUAUGAUAUGUUGGCCUAGUCUAUUGUAGGUGCUCAUAGGUGUAGGAUAUGCGUGUGUGAGUUUAUAGAAAUGAUUGUAUAUGCGUAUGUAUGAGUGUCCGCGUCUGUGCUAUAUCAAAAAAGAUAUGUGUUCCAUUUAGUAUUGGAUCAAAUAAUUUAAAAUUAUAUUACUUUGUUGCGGCCAGUGUAUAUAUGCACCCCAACUACAAUGGUACUCAUACUAUUAUAUAAUAUAUAUACAUUUCUUCUUAUGCAUUAGGCAAUGUUCGUGUCUUCACUCUUAACCUACAAACACAAUGCUAUACUUAAUUGACGAUGUAUCUGUCUAGCACCAUAUUAAAUAAUAGAGUAUCUCAUAAUACUUGAAAAUAUUUUACACCUAAAAUUUUAAAAUUAAUGAACGCGGUCAUGAUAUAAUCCUAUUUGAAAUAUAUAGUAUGGUUAACAUAUCAAGAUAUAUGACAUUCAUAGUAGUCUAUAAGCAUUUUU